rnacentral:rRNA from 1 species
GAUGAACGCUAGCGGCAGGCCUAAUACAUGCAAGUCGGACGGGAUUCAGGAGCUUGCUUCUGAUGAGAGUGGCACGGGUGCGUAACACGUAUGUAACCUACCUUUAUCAGGGGGAUAGCCUCUCGAAAGAGAGAUUAAGCCCGCAUAAAAUCACAGCACAGCAUUGUGUAAUGAUCAAAUAUUUAUAGGAUAAAGAUGGGCAUGCGGAACAUUAGCUAGAUGGCGGGGUAACGGCCCACCAUGGCGACGAUGUUUAGGGGAUCUGAGAGGAUGGCCCCCCACACUGGUACUGAGACACGGACCAGACUCCUACGGGAGGCAGCAGUAAGGAAUAUUGGUCAAUGGGCGGAAGCCUGAACCAGCCAUGCCGCGUGCAGGAAGACGGCCCUACGGGUUGUAAACUGCUUUUAGACGGGAAUAAACCCAGAUACGCGUAUCUGGCUGAAUGUACUGUAAGAAUAAGGAUCGGCUAACCCCGUG